rnacentral:misc_RNA from 1 species
UCUCAUUUAGCCACUGUAUUCCUGUUGGAACAGAGGUUCCUAUUGUUUAUGGAUUUAUGUUCAUGGCAGAUGAUGCUGUGCUGCAAAGCACCCAUGGGUGCUUUUGCAUCUUAACUGAUUUGUAGUUUGGCAUUUGGUGAGGUUAAAUGUAAAUUGAAUUCAUUUAGCAAUGCAUUGGUCAUCUUUGUUCUAAGUGUGCUCUGCAUUGGUUCACAGGGUGCUAAGCCCGGGGAAG